rnacentral:rRNA from 1 species
GACGAACCGAGCGAACGUUGUUCGGAAUCACUGGGCUUAAAGGGCGCGUAGGCGGGCGGCCGCGUCCGGGGUGAAAUCCUCCCGCCCAACGGGAGAACGGCCUCGGAUACGGGCGGCCUCGAGGGGGGUAGGGGCAGGCGGAACUGUGGGUGGAGCGGUGAAAUGCGUUGAGAUCCACAGGAACUCCGGUGGCGAAGGCGGCCUGCUGGACCCCUCCUGACGCUGAGGCGCGAAAGCCAGGGGAGCGAACGGG